CGCGUGAGUAACCUGCCUUGGAGUGGGGAAUAACAGCUGGAAACGGCUGCUAAUACCGCAUAAUGCAGUUGGGUCGCAUGGCUCUGACUGCCAAAGAUUUAUCGCUCUGAGAUGGACUCGCGUCUGAUUAGCUAGUUGGCGGGGUAACGGCCCACCAAGGCGACGAUCAGUAGCCGGACUGAGAGGUUGGCCGGCCACAUUGGGACUGAGACACGGCCCAGACUCCUACGGAAGGCAGCAG
rnacentral:rRNA from 1 species